UACGUAGGGGGCAAGCGUUGUCCGGAAUCAUUGGGCGUAAAGCGCGUGUAGGCGGCCCGGUAGGUCCGCUGUGAAAGUCCAGGGCUCAACCCUGGGAUGCCGGUGGAUACUGUCGGGCUCGAGUCCGGAAGAGGCGAGUGGAAUUCCUGGUGUAGCGGUGAAAUGCGUAGAUAUCUGGAGGAACACCGGUGGCGAAGGCGGCAUCCUGGACCGAGAUUGACGCUGAGGCGCGAAAGCUAGGGGAGCAAACGGG
rnacentral:rRNA from 1 species